GGCAGCCAAUCACGAGGAAGGAACGAGAAGGGGGGUGGGGCUGGGGGGGAUGCUGGCUGUCGCCGCAGAAUCCUCGAGCGCCAGGAACGACUCGAGACUUCUAGUGUACGCUGCGCCAGAUAUUUGAUGGCAGGUUGCACCAUGACCCUAUUUCUAUAAAUUUUUAAAAUUAGCCUGGCAUGGCAUAAUACCAGAACUGAAGGGGGAGAGUCCGGAGGAUUCGGAAAGUUGAGGAUAGAUGGAUCUGUGAGUGACAGUCUUCCUCCAACAAGGCCACACACCUCCUAAUGGUGCCACUCCCUAAGGGCUUAUGGAGGCCAUGCUCGUUCAAACCAGCUUAGUGCUGCUCAGAGGGUUUUAAGAAGGAUGAUGUUGGGAAGCUCCACCCAGUCCCGCUCCUCCCAUUCCAGACCCCGCCCCUGAGGAAGCCUGCCACCGUGGGCUCCUCCCCCUGAGAUGCUCAAGACCAGCCUACGGGCUAUUUAAGAAAUUGUGACACAACCUACUUGCAACUCAAGCACAGGACAGUAAACAGAUGAAAGAAUGUUUCAGUUUUCACCUGCGUGACACCAGACACUGGAACAACACCAACUGGUUCUUCAAUUACGAGCCCCUCAAUUUAACAGAGAGGACCACACUGUCACUGAAAAGCACAAGCUCACCAUCAGUCCUGUCUGGAGGGCAGACGCAGGGAUCUAUCAGUGUGAGGUCUCCAACUCCUUCAGCUCCAGGAGGAGUAACCCACUGCUCUUUGUGGUGGCGAAUGGCUAAUGUCUUUUCUCUUCCUAUACCACAGCGCUGAGAUUUUCAUGUUCCCUAGUGUGCAGAGCGUUUAAAAGUUAUAGGAGAAAGCAGUGCAGACACAGACUGCCAUCAUGGCGACAUAAACCUUCUAUUCCCAAAUAAAACACAAGUCAGGAGGAACAUGAGUACAAGGCCAGUCCAGUUAGACAGUGUUUUAAAAAUAGACUUCAGUAAGGGGCUGGAGAGAUGACUCAGCAGUUAAGAGCACUGGCUGCUCAUCUGGAGGACCUGGGUUCAAAUCCCAGCAGCCAUAUGGCAAGUCGUGCCUGUCUGUAACUCCAAGAUGUGACAUAUAGACAAACCACCAAUGCACAUAAAAUAAAUAAAAAUAAAAGAAAUCCCCACUCCACCCUUAAAAAAAAAAAAAAAAGGACUAGGUAUAGGAACAGAAUUGCAAAGAAGUAAAGUAUGCCUCAGGUUCUGAAUCCCAUAUGAACUCAGGCCUCAGAAUCCCAGAGGGAACUGCCAGGUGCCUCACACUCUCUAAAAGCUGUGACAGCUCAGAGUCCCUGUUAAAAUGCUGCAGAGUUUGCAUAGAGUAAACACAGCUUUUCUCAUGCUCAGACGGUUCCUGAUGACCAACACCCAUGCUGCUUAGACCCCAGUCAUCCAUGUGAAGUUGGGAUACUGACAGGGCAUCAGACUGCGUGUGUUUUACACUGUCUAUAGUUCCUGAUCUGUAGAUUGUUUGCUGCAUAGAGAGAAAAUCCAUGGACAUAAAGGCUCCAUGUACUGA
ensembl:lncRNA